UGUGUGUUCUGAAAGUAGCCCAGCGGGGCCCUUCCUUGCUCUUUUUCCUUGGCCCCAGGGCAAGCUGUGAGUGGCAGGCACCAGACCAGCCUUGUGCUUGCUGGCAGCGCUACACGUGGCCGCUCUUCCCACUGAGCAAAGGCACAGCUGACGGCAAGGCAGGAUGCGCACCCUGAGCUGGGUUUGCGGGAGACUUCCAGUCUCCUUUUCUGGUGAGCCUAGGCCCUUGGGACUGAAAGAAUCCAAGAUCUGGAUCUCCUCUAUAGCGCCCAGAACCACAGCCACCGUCCUGAAGCACACGGCCUUCACACGUUUCUACACGA
rnacentral:lncRNA from 1 species